CAUGAACGAGCAGGGAAAGCUCCCAUGGAGCCAAAACCCUAAACUUCAUGAAAAUCUCCAAAUUGAAAGGCUAAACGAAGCCCAAAUUCACAACCGAACAUGAAUUAACGAUCACCUUCACAAGGGGAUCAUAAGGAAUCAUGUCAAAAUGGAUGGGAGCGUUGAAGGCUAACGGGCUACGAAGACUCAAUCAAAUAAGCGAACGCAAAUACGGGUGCGCAAGGCUGUACAGGGUUAUAGAUAUUUCGUCAAGAAGCGUACGCGAUCGAAGAUCGAGUCAAGUCGUGGAUUGUACGUGGGUGUGGAUGUAGUCACUUAAUUUGAAAUAUGUAUGUUAGUUUUCAUUAAUUUAUAAAAAGAGAAUAAUGUAUUUAAGCGAAAUGAAGAGAAUCAUGAAAGAAAUUUUACAUAUGUAUUUUCCGCUGCGAAUCUUAGGUUAAAAUGUGUU